rnacentral:rRNA from 1 species
GAUGAACGCUGGCGGCGUGCCUAAUACAUGCGAGUCGAGCGAACGGACGAGAAGCUUGCUUCUCUGAUGUUAGCGGCGGACGGGUGAGUAACACGUGGAUAACCUACCUAUAAGACUGGGAUAACUUCGGGAAACCGGAGCUAAUACCGGAUAAUAUUUUGAACCGCAUGGUUCAAAAGUGAAAGACGGUCUUGCUGUCACUUAUAGAUGGAUCCGCGCUGCAUUAGCUAGUUGGUAAGGUAACGGCUUACCAAGGCAACGAUGCAUAGCCGACCUGAGAGGGUGAUCGGCCACACUGGAACUGAGACACGGUCCAGACUCCUACGGGAGGCAGCAGUAGGGAAUCUUCCGCAAUGGACGAAAGCCUGACGGAGCAACGCCGCGUGAGUGAUGAAGGUCUUCGGAUCGUAAAACUCUGUUAUUAGGGAAGAACAUAUGUGUAAGUAACUGUGCACAUCUUGACGGUACCUAAUCAGAAAGCCACGGCUAACUACGUG